GGCAAGAUGUCCGAGCGGUCUAAGGAGCUGCACUCAAGAGCCACGUGACCCGUGUUCUUAUUCAUUCCAAAAAUGAAUGUAUUGCAGUCUCGCAAGAGGCGUGGGUUCGAAUCCCACUCUUGUCA